rnacentral:misc_RNA from 1 species
AACUGAUACUACCUGCGGGAACCUGCGGAAGGAUCAUUACUGAAACAAAUUUGGAUUGGGUUGUUUCGCUCACUUUCGAAGACUGUGCCGUUUGAACACCCAUCCAUUUUAUUUUCCUUUCUCACCUGUGCAACUCGUGUAGAUCUUUGAAACACACAGUCAGUCUCGAUUUGAAAAAGGAGAGAUUGGUUUGAGGAACUUGCCUCGUGGCUUUUCUCAGGCGUUUCUGAUUUAUGUUAU